UCGACUAAUUGAAUAGUUGAUGCAAAAUGCAUUGACUAUUCUGUUAGUCACAAUUUAACAUCCUUAGUUAGAGAUAGAAUUAGAACAUAGCAGUUCUCCUCUCCUGGCUCUGUGCUCAGGCCACAAAGCUGACUUGCUGAAAUGUAAAGGAAUCCAGGGACUUGUUUUUUAUUUGUAUAAUUUGAUUUAUUGGACAAGAUAAUAAUUCUCUUUGGCAUUAGAUUGUUGCUAAUACUUCCAUACAGCACUGUAUUGUGGCUCUGUACAAGACUGAGCAUCCCAAUGACAGCAGAGCGCUGAGUAUGUUAUGCAUAUAUGGGAGCCAAACAACACUAUUUGAGAAGCUAGCAUCCAGUUGAGUUGACCUACUACAGGAAGCCAGUUCACUUUGAUGGGUCUGUGUGUUUUGGAAGAAACCGAAAAGCACCAGUCUGGCUACUGGGGAAAUAUUAGCUUUAGGAGCAUGCAGAGCUUUAGCAGGAUUGAGAAAAAACGUGUCUAGAUUUUUUUGUUUUGUUUUGUUUUUUGUUUUUUUAAU